CCUACGGGAGGCAGCAGUAGGGAAUCUUCCACAAUGGACGAAAGUCUGAUGGAGCAACGCCGCGUGAGUGAUGAAGGUUUUCGGAUCGUAAAACUCUGUUGUAAGGGAAGAACAAGUACGAGAGGUAAUGCUCGUACCUUGACGGUACCUUGCGAGAAAGCCACGGCUAACUACGUGCCAGCAGCCGCGGUAAUACGUAGGUGGCAAGCGUUGUCCGGAAUUAUUGGGCGUAAAGCGCGUGCAGGCGGCCUUUUAAGUCUGAUGUGAAAGCCCCCGGCUCAACCGGGGAGGGUCAUUGGAAACUGGAAGGCUUGAGUACAGAAGAGAAGAGUGGAAUUCCAUGUGUAGCGGUGAAGUGCGUAGAGAUGUGGAGGAACACCAGUGGCGAAGGCGACUCUUUGGUCUGUAACUGACGCUGAGGCGCGAAAGCGUGGGGAGCAAACAGGAUUAGAUACCCUGGUAGUCCACGCCGUAAACGAUGAGUGCUAGGUGUUGGGGGGUUUCCGCCCCUCAGUGCUGAAGCUAACGCAUUAAGCACUCCGCCUGGGGAGUACGGCCGCAAGGCNGAAACUCAAAUGAAAUUGACGG
rnacentral:rRNA from 1 species